AUACGGAGGGUGCAAGCGUUAAUCGGAAUUACUGGGCGUAAAGCGUACGUAGGCGGUCCGUUAAGUUAGAUGUGAAAGCCCCGGGCUUAACCUGGGAACUGCAUUUAAAACUGGCGAACUAGAGUUGAGUAGAGGGGAGUGGAAUUUCAGGUGUAGCGGUGAAAUGCGUAGAGAUCUGAAGGAACACCAGUGGCGAAGGCGACUCCCUGGACUCGAACUGACGCUGAGGUACGAAAGCGUGGGUAGCAAACGGAAUUAGAAACCCUAGUAGUCC
rnacentral:rRNA from 1 species